CCUACGGGAGGCAGCAGUGGGGAAUCUUGCGCAAUGGGCGAAAGCCUGACGCAGCCAUGCCGCGUGGAUGAUGAAGGUCUUAGGAUUGUAAAAUCCUUUCACCGGUGAAGAUAAUGACUGUAGCCGGAGAAGAAGCCCCGGCUAACUUCGUGCCAGCAGCCGCGGUAAUACGAAGGGGGCUAGCGUUACUCGGAAUUACUGGGCGUAAAGGGAGCGUAGGCGGACAUUUAAGUCAGGGGUGAAAUCCCAGAGCUCAACUCUGGAACUGCCUUUGAUACUGGGUGUCUUGAGUGUGAGAGAGGUAUGUGGAACUCCGAGUGUAGAGGUGAAAUUCGUAGAUAUUCGGAAGAACACCAGUGGCGAAGGCGACAUACUGGCUCAUUACUGACGCUGAGGCUCGAAAGCGUGGGGAGCAAACAGGAUUAGAUACCCUGGUAGUCCACGCCGUAAACGAUGAUUGCUAGUUGUCGGGAAGCUUGCUUUUCGGUGACGCAGCUAACGCAUUAAGCAAUCCGCCUGGGGAGUACGGUCGCAAGAUUAAAACUCAAAGGAAUUGACGG
rnacentral:rRNA from 1 species